AUCUGUGUGACUGCGUACCUUUUGUAUAAUGGGUCAGCGACUUAUAUUCUGUAGCAAGGUUAACCGAAUAGGGGAGCCGAAGGGAAACCGAGUCUUAACUGGGCGUUAAGUUGCAGGGUAUAGACCCGAAACCCGGUGAUCUAGCCAUGGGCAGGUUGAAGGUUGGGUAACACUAACUGGAGGACCGAACCGACUAAUGUUGAAAAAUUAGCGGAUGACUUGUGGCUGGGGGUGAAAGGCCAAUCAAACCGGGAGAUAGCUGGUUCUCCCCGAAAGCUAUUUAGGUAGCGCCUCGUGAAUUCAUCUCCGGGGGUAGAGCACUGUUUCGGCAAGGGGGUCAUCCCGACUUACCAACCCGAUGCAAACUGCGAAUACCGGAGAAUGUUAUCACGGGAGACACACGGCGGGUGCUAACGUCCGUCGUGAAGAGGGAAACAACCCAGACCGCCAGCUAAGGUCCCAAAGUCAUGGUUAAGUGGGAAACGAUGUGGGAAGGCCCAGACAGCCAGGAUGUUGGCUUAGAAGCAGCCAUCAUUUAAAGAAAGCGUAAUAGCUCACUGGUCGAGUCGGCCUGCGCGGAAGAUGUAACGGGGCUAAACCAUGCACCGAAGCUGCGGCAGCGACACUGUGUGUUGUUGGGUAGGGGAGCGUUCUGUAAGCCUGUGAAGGUGUGCUGUGAGGCAUGCUGGAGGUAUCAGAAGUGCGAAUGCUGACAUAAGUAACGAUAAAGCGGGUGAAAAGCCCGCUCGCCGGAAGACCAAGGGUUCCUGUCCAACGUUAAUCGGGGCAGGGUGAGUCGACCCCUAAGGCGAGGCCGAAAGGCGUAGUCGAUGGGAAACAGGUUAAUAUUCCUGUACUUGGUGUUACUGCGAAGGGGGGACGGAGAAGGCUAUGUUGGCCGGGCGACGGUUGUCCCGGUUUAAGCGUGUAGGCUGGUUUUCCAGGCAAAUCCGGAAAAUCAAGGCUGAGGCGUGAUGACGAGGCACUACGGUGCUGAAGCAACAAAUGCCCUGCUUCCAGGAAAAGCCUCUAAGCAUCAGGUAACAUCAAAUCGUACCCCAAACCGACACAGGUGGUCAGGUAGAGAAUACCAAGGCGCUUGAGAGAACUCGGGUGAAGGAACUAGGCAAAAUGGUGCCGUAACUUCGGGAGAAGGCACGCUGAUAUGUAGGUGAAGUCCCUCGCGGAUGGAGCUGAAAUCAGUCGAAGAUACCAGCUGGCUGCAACUGUUUAUUAAAAACACAGCACUGUGCAAACACGAAAGUGGACGUAUACGGUGUGACGCCUGCCCGGUGCCGGAAGGUUAAUUGAUGGGGUCAGCGCAAGCGAAGCUCUUGAUCGAAGCCCCGGUAAACGGCGGCCGUAACUAUAACGGUCCUAAGGUAGCGAAAUUCCUUGUCGGGUAAGUUCCGACCUGCACGAAUGGCGUAAUGAUGGCCAGGCUGUCUCCACCCGAGACUCAGUGAAAUUGAACUCGCUGUGAAGAUGCAGUGUACCCGCGGCAAGACGGAAAGACCCCGUGAACCUUUACUAUAGCUUGACACUGAACAUUGAGCCUUGAUGUGUAGGAUAGGUGGGAGGCUUUGAAGUGUGGACGCCAGUCUGCAUGGAGCCGACCUUGAAAUACCACCCUUUAAUGUUUGAUGUUCUAACGUGGACCCGUGAUCCGGGUUGCGGACAGUGUCUGGUGGGUAGUUUGACUGGGGCGGUCUCCUCCUAAAGAGUAACGGAGGAGCACGAAGGUUGGCUAAUCCUGGUCGGACAUCAGGAGGUUAGUGCAAUGGCAUAAGCCAGCUUGACUGCGAGCGUGACGGCGCGAGCAGGUGCGAAAGCAGGUCAUAGUGAUCCGGUGGUUCUGAAUGGAAGGGCCAUCGCUCAACGGAUAAAAGGUACUCCGGGGAUAACAGGCUGAUACCGCCCAAGAGUUCAUAUCGACGGCGGUGUUUGGCACCUCGAUGUCGGCUCAUCACAUCCUGGGGCUGAAGUAGGUCCCAAGGGUAUGGCUGUUCGCCAUUUAAAGUGGUACGCGAGCUGGGUUUAGAACGUCGUGAGACAGUUCGGUCCCUAUCUGCCGUGGGCGCUGGAGAACUGAGGGGGGCUGCUCCUAGUACGAGAGGACCGGAGUGGACGCAUCACUGGUGUUCGGGUUGUCAUGCCAAUGGCACUGCCCGGUAGCUAAAUGCGGAAGAGAUAAGUGCUGAAAGCAUCUAAGCACGAAACUUGCCCCGAGAUGAGUUCUCCCUGACCCUUUAAGGGUCCUGAAGGAACGUUGAAGACGACGACGUUGAUAGGCCGGGUGUGUAAGCGCAGCGAUGCGUUGAGCUAACCGGUACUAAUGAACCGUGAGGCUUAACCUU
rnacentral:rRNA from 1 species